UUGAUUUCGGAUGAUAAUUGCUCAUGUGUAUAUUUUCAAAGAAAGUUGUCUAAGCCAUUGAUUCGGCUAGACUAUUGGUAUAAGAUUAAAAGCUAUCUAAACCAAAUUAACUUAGUGCGGACUCUUAUAACUGAGAUGAAAAACCCUCUUGGUAGGGAAAUUAUAUAAUUGUCGGGAAACCGACGUGCGCACAUGAGUAAGAUUAAAUGUUAUGCAUGACAUAGGGUACUUUAGGC
rnacentral:lncRNA from 1 species